GCUAUGAUAUAUUUCUGUCACAAUCCCUAAUGAUCUUAAACGUCAAACUCUAAUGCCACUAAGGCUACAGUCCCUAGUGGUCUUAAACCGUAGAUUAUAAUAUCAUUCCUGUUACAAUCUCAAGUGACUAUAAACCAAGGCUCUGAUAGUUUUUCUAUCAUAAUUUUCCACUCACACUCACCUGAACCUAAACCCUAGGAUACCUUAACCUUAAGCUCUGAUACCAAAUCUGUCACGCCCCGAAC
rnacentral:lncRNA from 1 species